rnacentral:lncRNA from 1 species
GCUUAACAGCGCUGGGAUCAAGAGGCAGGAGCAGUGGUGGCUGUGGAAGGGCAGGGGUUGUGCUCAAGGAAGGAUGAUGAGCACUGUCUGGGCUCCAGUUCUGCACGCUUUGCCAUUCGCGCAUCCUGACUCCACCGACAGCCCGAAGAUCCAAGGAGAAAGGGAAGGAAUAGGAGCUUGGAAAAGAAUGUGACCAACUCAUGUCCCACAGCCAGCAAACCUGAGCCUUGAGGAUGGAUCUUCUGAAGAGGCUUGGCCGGACUUGUAUGACUUCGCCAUGCUGGCUGGUCACUGUCCUGCCCAUCCCAGGUAAUGGUGAGGACAUAAUGACGUGCACUCCAUGCUCAGCCCUGGACAAAGAUCUUAUGGAGGAGAAAGAAGUAAUGGAUAACUUCUGGGGCUGCAGAGACACUGAGGCUGUCAAGAGAAAAUUAAAUUUACAGUCAGAGAGUUUUGUUUUCUCAAGUGUCCUUGUACAAUGCAAAAGAGGCUUCUGGCAUCACCACGGCAAUUCAGCUGGUUUCCUAAACUGGCAGGGUUUUCCUCCAAGAAGUCCUCUUCCUUUGCCAAGAGAGUGUAUUAAUGACAAGGACUGGACCUAAAGGGAACUCAUUGGUAAGAAAACUGCAUUAAAAGAACAUUAAGGGCGAUGUUUUAAAGUCUGAUUUAAACUCAUGAAAGCAAAGAGAGUUAUUGUGGAAGCCAAAUCGCCAGGCUGACGCACCCUGCCUG